UGGUGCCAAGAGAAUAAAGGACAGCCUCUUGAUAACACCAUGUACCCAUGAGAAGAAUGUUGAGAACAAAGGGCCACCAUUCCCAUCCUGAGGAAGCCAGAAAGGAUGCAGUCAGGUAUCCAUGGACCCAUCUGACUUCCAUGUUGAAUCCUCCAUGGAGAUGCCUCCCUCUGUUCCAUCAUUCUGCAAAGCAGUACGGAGCCAAUCGUGCAAACUUUUACAGAAUACAAAAAGUGUUGCAAGAAAGCAGGUCAUGACCACUAGGACACUCUUGAACUUAUGCUAGUGUCAGGAGUCAUAGAAACUUGCCUUAGAUGUGUUGGGAAAGUGCAAAGCUGGAUUGUGUUAACAAGGCUCCAGGGCCCACAAAACUCCAAGGGCCUGGUUUUCUGCUAGUGUAAAAAAAGGAAUUAGAGCUCAUACAAGAGAGCAGCAAGAAAGAGUUUCAGAAGAAGGGUCCUCCACAGGAAGCAGAUGUCAGGAGCAUCUCAGGUGAUGAAGAAGAAGAACAGCUUUGGAAAUGCUAAGCGUCCACGGAAGUUGUUCCUGUAUUCAUUCAGGGCCCUCUCCAUGCCUGGCCGCCAGUACCAGGCUCUUCCCAGUUCCUUUCUUGGAGACUAUGAUAGCAGCAUCCGCUACGCUGAAACCAGGACCCCCAAGAGGC